GUGCCAGCAGCCGCGGUAAUACGUAGGAGACGAGCGUUGUCCGGAAUUACUGGGCGUAAAGCGCGUGUAGGCGGAUGAGCAAGUCUGCUGUGAAAGCUCCUGGCUUAACCGGGAGUGGUCGGUGGAAACUGCUCGUCUGGAGGACGGUAGAGGUAGGUAGAAUUCCCGGUGUAGUGGUGAAAUGCGUAGAGAUCGGGAGGAAUACCUGUGGCGAAGGCGGCCUACUGGGCCGGACCUGACGCUGAGACGCGAAGGCGUGGGGAGCGAACGGGAUUAGAUACCCCCGUAGUCC
rnacentral:rRNA from 1 species